AAAGCUUCAGCAAUUAGAGAUAAGCUUCACUUUAGGGGUGAAUACUUGGACAAUCAUGUUGAGCAUGCUAAUGGCAGACUAUGGAUUAGCUGGGAUAAUACCAAAUAUGAUGUUAGAAGUGUGCAUAUAACUAGUCAAUCUAUUCAUUGUGGGGUCUAUGAUAUUGGGGGCUGCUUCAAGUUUUGGCUAACAGCUGUUUAUGCUCUUAAUCGCUUGGAGGACGGAAAACACUUGUGGAAGAUUGUUGAGAACAUCCAUAGGAAUAUUCAUGGGCAUUGGUGCUUGUUUGGGGAUUAUAACAACGUGGC